CACACGCCCACACACACACACACACACAGUUUACUCUUGGUCAUCUGAGCGGAGCUGAUAUCUGAUGGUAGAUCUCGUCUUCAGCGCUCACUUAUCGGCUCCUUCAUGUAGGGGUCACACUAGCAGCAGCACACCUCUUAUUUAUAGCACACACUCUCUCUCACACACACACACACACACACACACACACACACACACUCACACACACAUGCACGGGUUAGGGUUACAUAACGGUGACCUACUAAAGCAGAAACGCGGCACGUGAGCUGCAAGAGAUGAAGAUGAACUCAGCAUGCCAUCCUUACACACACACACACACACACACCCACACCCACCCACACACACACACACACACACACACACACACACACACACCUCCCCCAACUCGCUCUGACAUCACUGCAGGCCUCAAGGCUGCUCUCAUCAGCCGGUUGCCAGGCAACCAUUUUUAUCCACAGCCACAACCAACGCACAUUUAAUCUGAGAGGCAAAAAGACGAGCGAUAAAAACAAAAGAAGAAGAAAAGGCUCAGAAACUUCGUCUACCGGAGCGACUCGGGGCAGAAACGUGGUGGGAAGGGAGCGACAGAACGAUGGAGGAGCGACAGAACGAUGGAGGAGCGACAGAACGAUGGAGGAGCGACAGAACGAUGGAGGAGCGACAGAACGAUGGAGGAGCGACAGAACGAUGGAGGAGCGACAGAGCGAUGGAGGAGCGACAGAGCGAUGGAGGAGAGCGGCUGAUGAGAGCUUUGAGGCCUGCAGUGAUGUCAGAGCGGCUCGGUGUGAAAGCAGCCGCGAUCCGUGCGUCUCUGUCGCCAUCUGUUUGACGGUUCACGGAUCCGUCUCUCCCUCUGCACAUGACUCCCCCCGCCCCCCUACAACCUCAUCCUGCUGCCUGGCAACCCUCGCCACGGCAACGUGAAGCCCCACAGCACAGGGGCAGGUAAUCUGAGACCCCCGCAGCAUCCCGGAGAGCGAAAUGACACGACAAACUGGAUCCAAAAAUACGAGAUUACAGGCAGAGGAACGGACUGGGAGGAUGAGCUGAAAACACGGACCGGUUUGGUCCGAAUGAGAUUCACCACAGAGAGAACAGAACUUACAGCACAGUGGAGCAUCUGGACAUGAACAACAUGAAGAAACGCGCCGAGCAGCUGCUGGGACCUACCUGUGGAGGUGGGACACACUGGGGAGCAUGAAGGAAGAAGAAGAAGAAGUGAAGGGACAACAGGACACUGGGGGAAAUGAAGAUGAGGAGACAGGAGCUGAAAAUGAGUAAAAGGAGGAAACGUCAACAGACACAAACAGGAACAUCAGAGGAUGGAAACAUGAAGGAGGACAAACAUGAUCCCAGAGAACCUGAGCGCUAGCAUCCCCUUUUCUCUCAGCAGUGGGAUUGUUCAUUCAAAAUGGAUGUGAAACGUGAAUUAUUGAUGGAGCUUUUUAUUCCUGUCUCACAUGCUGGGGGAGAGGGGAGUUAAAACCACAAACUGAGCUGAUUCAUCAUCAUGUCUCCACAUUUACUCCAGACUGGAAACCUGAUUCCCCCCAAAAGAUCUCUAAAGCAUCUUCAGAAAACCCAGAGGAUUAUGGAUCAGAACCAUUUAAAAAGAUCAACAGGAAGAAACGUUUACUUUUCUAAAUAAACCAAGUUCAACAUGUCAAUUUUAGCUGUAUUUGCUUCAUUCAUAACAAAUAGUUGAUAAAGAAAAGUGACAUUUUAAUUCAACCCAAAUUUCAUCUCAUCGAUUCAUCAGUUACAGCCUCUAAUCUGUAUGGAGCUCUAUAAGUGACACUAUCAAAAUAAAUCCUGUGAAUGCUUUAA